AUUGAACGCUGGCGGCAUGCCUUACACAUGCAAGUCGAACGGCAGCGGGGACUUCGGUCCGCCGGCGAGUGGCGAACGGGUGAGUAAUGUAUCGGAACGUACCAUUGAGUGGGGGAUAACGUAGCGAAAGUUACGCUAAUACCGCAUAUUCUCUCCGGAGGAAAGCAGGGGACCGCAAGGCCUUGCGCUCUUUGAGCGGCCGAUAUCAGAUUAGCUAGUUGGUGAGGUAAAGGCUCACCAAGGCGACGAUCUGUAGCGGGUCUGAGAGGAUGAUCCGCCACACUGGAACUGAGACACGAUCCAGACUCCUACGGGAGGCAGCAGUGGGGAAUUAUGGACAAUGGGGGCAACCCUGAUCCAGCCAUGCCGCGUGAGUGAAGAAGGCCUUCGGGUUGUAAAGCUCUUUCGGCCGGGAAAAAAUCGCAUGGGCUAAUACCCUGUGUGGAUGAUGGUACCGGAAUAAGAAGCACCGGCUAACUACGUGCCAGCCGCCGCCGUAA
rnacentral:rRNA from 1 species